rnacentral:rRNA from 1 species
CGUAGGUGGCAAGCGUUGUUCGGAAUUAUUGGGCGUAAAGGGCGCGUAGGCGGCCUGUUAAGUCAGUCGUGAAAGCCCGGGGCUCAACCCCGGAGGGUCGACUGAUACUGGCAAGCUAGAGUACGGAAGAGGUAGCUGGAAUUCCCGGUGUAGCGGUGAAAUGCGUAGAUAUCGGGAGGAGCACCUGAGGCGAAGGCGGGCUACUGGGCCGAUACUGACGCUGAGGCGCGAAAGCCAGGGGAGCGAACGGGAUUAGAUACCCCGGUAGUCCUGGCCCUAAACGAUGGACACUUGGUGUGUCGGGUCUUACAGUCCCGGCGUGCCGGAGCUAACGCGUUAAGUGUCCCGCCUGGGGAGUACGGUCGCAAGGCUG